UAUAGAGACUUUAGACCCAAGGUUCUGCGAAGGAACUUGAGGGGGUGAAUUGCCAUUAAUAACUGAUGGCCCAAGACCCUGACAACCGAAUCCCUCCUUCCAGACAGGGAAAGCAGAUCCUGAAAUAGGUGCCUCCCCGACCUAUUGUGAGCCACAGUGCUCAGGGUGACCACCCACUCCCAGACUGUAGAUGUUUUUGCACAGGCUAGGAAAUCCUACUGGGGUGGGGGAAGGAAAUCAGACUGUGGUCACAAAGAGUGACUUCAGAGCCUUUCACUUAGCGGAGAGAGGGGGUGGGGGGAGGGGAGACAGGCUUGCAAGACUGGGUGGCUCUGUGUCCAAAGGGCUUCCCCUUGCCAAGCCCCACCCCAAAGCCCAGGAAGUCCACAGCUUGGCACCUAGCCAAGGCAGAGCAUUCCUCAACCUUCUGACCGGCUGUGUGGGACGGUUCCCACAGGAGGAGGGGGGAGGGGCGGGAAACAAGGCAGAGAAGAGGUGACCCGGCAGUGUGCAAGGUGAGGGUGAAAGGCGGAGAUAUAACCUGCAGCGUCACGAGCCCCUGUUAGCGAAGCCUAAGCCCAGGACUCUGGAAAUAGCACCUGGUAAUGGGAGCGCUGACAGAUGCUGAGUUAUAGGAGCGCAGAUGGCCCAGCCAGUCUUCGGACUUGAUCGCUUUGGGACUCUUUCCCUUCAAAAGACAGCUUGCUGAUACCUGCAGAGGCCAGAAGAGGGCACUGGAUCCCCCGGAAGUGGAGUCACAGGUGGUUGUGAGCAGCCCUGUGUGCUGGGACUCUUCCUCUGGAAGACCAAUCAAGGAGCCAUCUCUCCAUCCUCUGGCCCCAGUCUUCCUGCCGUAGCCUCUCUAGUGCUGGGACUACAGGCUCGCACCACCAUGCCAGCCUACUAAAUUUACCCUUUCUUUCCCACACCACUCAGCCCUUAUCUUUCUGUGAACGUUGUCCACGAUCCACCCCCUCCCCAAUUCUGCAACCCCAAUUCCCCAUCCAACUCUUUUAUUUCCAGAACAGGAAAGGGGAGAUUCUUGCCGUUGUAUUUUGCUCAAGGUAUUUUCCCCCAAAUAAGUUGAGAACCAGAGUGUUGAGAAGACAGAGACCUCAAAUCAGGAUAAAUGAGCACAAGAAUCCCAUCCACCUCUUUUUGUUUGUUUGUUUGUUUGUUUAUUUAUUUAUUGGAGACAGGUUCUCUCUAUGUAGUCCUGGAACUUGCUAUGUAGACUAGGCUGGCCUCAAACUCACAGAGAUCUAUGGCUGCCUCUUCAGUACUAUGAUUAAAAGCAUGGGCCACCACGGGGUGUGUGUGUGUUUUCACUGCGUGCCUCCUCCUCCUCCUUCCAGCACCAUCUCCUGGGGCUCUUUCCUUUCAAAGCUAGUGCUCCUAGUGCUGACAGGGAGAUACUGUUUUAGAAACCUGUUAGCUUGACCAGUCUGACUGAGCUCGUAUAGAGAUCUACUUAGAGUGUUGUUGGGGAAGUCCUUUAGGAACCGUCCACCCAGUUCAGAGAGGCACUGCACCCAUAACCCAGUUCAUAAUUAGGGAAUGCUCCUCUCUCAGCUCUUCAUCAACGCUAUGAAGUCUGAAGGAGUUGGAAUAAAGGUAACCAAACUUUACUAACUCCACACCAAGACAAUUUCAUUGAUGGUAACUCUCUCUUGUCUCUAAAGAGGGCACUGGGGGUUGAAUGUAGAGGUUCCAGCUCCUGCACCCUACCAUUCUGCAAUGUUACCACUGAGCUACAUUCUCAACCCUUUUACUAUUUGGAAACAGGGUGUGGCUAAAAUAGCCCAGACUGACCUGUAUGUGGCUACCCUCUUCAACCUCGCCAUAAGCCCGAAUUACAUCUUCUGUGUACCCUUGAAGUUAUUUUUGGUUUUGUUUGACAGAGUCUCACUGUGUAGUUUUGGCUGGUCUGGAACUCGUUAUGUACACCAGGCUGGUCUCGAACUCACAGAUCCCCUGCCUGCUCCACAACAUCGGGCCCCAACCCUUCGUCUUCAACCAGAGAACUAUGUGGGUAUAAACAAAGUCAUCUUCGGCUGGAGCAGCCACAUUACCCUAUAGUCAGUGACCUCUCCGUAACUAACCCUAGCCCAGGCUGCCGCCCCAGAGUCACCCUGAAGAGGGCACUUUUGUUCAGUGGCUGGCUCAUGCCAGCUCUAAGGGAGCCUGAGGAAGGAAACACAACAAUUGACCACGUGUUAGGGGUGGUUCUCGCAGGGGUUGCUGGGACAGGGAAGGGAGGUCCACGUGGAGUGGGCGGGACACUCUGGAAGUUUUGGCGGGGCUGGCCGAUAGGGGGAAACAAACAAACAAAAACAACACCCAAAUUUGAGUUCUGGUCUGAUUGGGAAGGGAAUUGAAGAAGCGGGCGGGUGUACCCCGUCCUUGGGGAGGACCCAGGGACGGGGCACACCCACCCGCAGGCCCGAUGGAACGCAGGGCAGGGCUGCUGGCAGCGAGCGCCCUGAGCCCUGCAGACCGUCCAGGGAAGCUUCUGGCUCCGUCCGGGCUGCUUGGUUUCCUAGCCUGCGUCUAGACGGGAGAGGUGGCGAACGGGGCCGUGGUCUCCCUCCGGGGCCGUGGGGGGACUGAGUUAAUGUCAGCCACGCAACUCCAGUUUUUAUUUACCUUCCUGAGCGCCUCGGAAAGCCGCCCAGGAGAAACCUCUCCCUGGAGAGAAGCCAAGACAAACGUUCGCUUUCUCACUAGCAAGUUCUGCCCCCUGUUAGCAGCCUCAUUGUCAAAAAUGGAAGAGACUGGCAAGAUGAGCUACUCCAGUCUUCCUUCUUUAGGGGCUGUGGUGGAGGUCGGUGUGGUGUCUGGGAAAACCAAGACCCGGACAGGUGAAAUGGCUUGCCAAUGCUCUUCACACCACGGGGAUGCCCUCCAAAGAAUGGAGGUCAUAGGACUGGAACUCUGCAAUUCCUUAAACCUGAGUAGGAGGGUGAAAGACUUGCUAUGAACUCUCUCCAGACUUGCAACCACGAGGCAAAGUGGUUGUCAUCCCACGGGAGAUAAAACAGUUUAGGGACUGAUUUGUGGGUAUUAAGCACUGCUUCUCUUGGGUUCCCUCGCAGCUGACUCCGCUUUUAGUUUUAGGACAGGGUUUCUCUCAUAUUGUAGCCCAGGCUGGCCUGGAAUUCAUUAUGUACACCAAGCUGAACUCAAAAUCCUCUGGCCUCAGCCUCCUCCUUCCAGGGCUGGGAUUACAAGCGCGCCCCACCACACGUCUCCUGGCCUUUACACUAUGAAACCUCACUUCCUUAUGUGUUUAAUCAGGGGUCACCGAAGCUUAAGGCUUAAUGGUUUAGAAGCAAGAUUUCUAAUGAAAGUAACUCUCUGCCUGGCCUGGAGGCUCACACUUGUAGGAAUCUCAGCACUUUGGUGGGGGGUUAGUGGAAGGUCAUAAAGAGUUGGAGGUGAGUCUGGGCUACAGAAUGACACUCCGCCUCAAAAAAGGGGGGAAAAAAAAGUCCAGAAAGACCUUUCUAGGUUUCUGGUGGUUUAUUCCUUGGAAUUAAGCUACAAUCAGACCGCCAAUCCAAAGAUUCCAGUCUUGCCUUUGGGGAAAAAGUGUGUUUACUUAAUUUGAUGCAGUGAAAUUGUAGACUUUGGACUUUAGAGCUGAGACGUUUCCAGGAAAAAUAAAGUUGGGGACUGAUGUAGGAUUACCAGCUGAUAAUUUGUCUGCCGGUAAAGAUAUUUUAAAAGUACUGCCAUCGAUUAGUUUACUGACAUCGUUCAUUUCACAAAAGAAAGUAUAUUUUAGGCCGGUGGAUUGAAAGUUCACAGUUCAAGGUCAGCCUGGGUAAUUUGGUGAGCCUGUCUCAGUGAGUGAAAAUCAGGCUGGACAUACAGCUCGGUAGUAGACGGCUUGCCAAGCACUCAUGAAGUCCUAGAUUCACUGUCCGGUACUGCUUAGCAAACACCAAAGAGCUUAUCUCCAUUAGAAACUGCUCCCGCACACCUGGCACCUAUGGCUGGGCACUAGACCAGUGCUCCCACCCACAGUUCAUCCUAGACUGACUCCAGUUCGGUCUGUGUGCCCCCAGAUCAGGGGCGGGCAGCCAGAAGAGAACCAACUCAGCACUUAAAAAUUUUUUGUAUAUAAACAGGCUCUUGUAGGUACCCUAGCUGGCCUCUAACUUCUAUCUUCUUGCUUCCAUAUCUCAUGUUAGUAGUUAGGAUUACAGGUAAGUACUUUCAGGCCUGGCGACCUAACACCAUUUGGUAUGCCUCACACACUAAGAAUUGUUUCCAGUACUCUGGAGGCAGAGGCAGGCCCAUCACCCUGAGUUCCAGGCCAACUUGGGCUAUAUAGUGAGACCCUACCACAAACCAACCAAACCAAGAAUGUGUAAUAGUUGCAUUUUGUUUUUUUCUCUUCGAGACAAGGUUUCUCUGUGUAGCUUUGGUGCCUGUCCUGGAUCUUGCUCUGUAGACCCUGCUGGCCUCGAACUCACAGAGAUCCACUGGCCUCUGCCUCCCUAGUGGUGGGAUUAAAAGUGUGUGCCACCACUGCCCAGCAUAGUUGCAAAUUUUAAAAUGAGAUUGUAAAUUAAGAUGAUUAGAAAUAAGGCUAGGGGUCUAGCUCAGUUGGUAGAGUACUUGCCCAGCAAUGUGAAGCACUGGGUAAAACCUCCAGCACUGAAUACACUUGGCCUGUGGUGAAUGCAUACAAUAGUCAAUGCCUAUAAUCCAGCACUCAGGAGGUAGAGGCAGGACAAUAAAAAGUUCAAGGUCCUUGUCAGUUACACAGUAAUUAGAGGCUACCUGGGAUGGAUAUAUAUACACAUAUAUAUUCCAAGCAAAAUUAUCAGGAAUACAAAUACCAUGUAAUACAGUUAUACUGGAAAAUGACCACAUUCAUAUCAUGCAUUGGGGCUGCUUUGGCACUACAAUAGUAGAACUGAAGGUUAAAAAAGAAAAAAAAAGCCUUCUAGUCAGCCAAGCCUAAAAUAGUUACUGUCUGGCCCUUGAAGAGUAGGUAAGUAGGGUUAGCCUAGCAGGAUGGUGUGUGCCUGUAAUCCCAGCACUGGGGACGUGGCAGCAGGAAGCCAGUUUGGUCUAAAGACCCUAUCUCAAACAAAACCCCAAACCAGAGCUUCUGAAUCCUCAGGUGUAGGGCAGGACUAGGUCAUCUGCACAUCCACGGUUUCAAUGAGGAGGCUGGCUUGGGUUUAUUAGGUUUGCACUCGGAGGAAUGUCACAGCGUUCUGUGGAAGUCGGGAUCACUUCGUGGAGUCGCUUCCCUCUCACCUUUACACAUCCUGGAAUUUACCUCAGGGGGCCAGGCUGUGCCUGCUGAACCAGCUCGCCAGCCCUGAGAUUGCGUUCCGUAGUUUCAUGCUACAGCCUUGGCGUCUUCUCUUUGAUGAAUUUACAUUACAUUUAUUUGUGUUUUUGGCAUGGGUCCCCUCACUGUGAAAGUGGAGCUCAGAAGACAACUUGUUCAUCUCCUUCCAUUGUUUGAGUUCCCGGGCCCCAACCCAGGUCCUCAGACUUGGUGGCAAUUUCCUUUACCCUGUGAGCUUCCUCACCUGUCCUCCUUUUAUAUGACACCGAAGGCUGAACCUAGUACUCUGUGGGUGCUAGGUGAGCAAAGAGCACUCUGCCACUGAACCUAGUACUCUGUGGGUGCUAGGUGAGCAAAGAGCACUCUGCCACUGAACCUAGUACUCUGUGGGUGCUAGGUGAGCAAAGAGCACUCUGCCACUGAACCACAGCACAGACCUGUCACUCCAAGACCUGGGAAGUCUUGAACUUGGGAUAGUCCUACCUAAGUCUCACGAACUAGCUGGGAUCACUGGCCUUUGAGACAGGCCUGGCACUCUGCUCACACUCUACUGGUAGUUUCUCUACAUAUCCCUAUACCUCUGGAACCCGAGAUGAACUACUCACCAUCUCACACCUGAACUAACAGUUUUCAAGCUGGCCCACAUUAAGAGCCUACUCUUAGCAGGUAUAUGUCUAGAUACACGGAGCUAACAAUCUAUGGAAUUCACAUGUUAGUAGGUGAGGAUACUGCAGGACAAAUGACGUAGUGGGUGGUGAGAAAUUCUGCAGAAGAAAUGGAGGUCGGCAAAAAAAAGCAUUAGAAGAUGGCAUUUAGUCAAGAGCCAAAGGAAGCGAGGAAGUCACGUGGACCUGAUGAAGAGUCCAUGCAGAGGGAGCAGCAAAUGCAGGGACCUGAGCAGACAGACAGGAGGCGACUGCGGCAGGAGAGAAGGGCAGCAGUGGGAGCCCUCAAGUCCACAUGUGAAGGGCCAGAUUCUUCAGGCCAUUCCAAGACUGCUUUUACUCCAAGUGAGACAGGAAGCCACGAGACUUUAGAACAGAGAAUGACUAUGACCUAUCAGGAUCACUGUAGAUGCCCAGGGCGGACUUAGGCAAAGGUGGAAGCUGAGAGACUUGAUUACAAGCAUUCCAUAAUUAAAACAAUCUGUAAAAAAAAGCAGGGAUUGUGGCUUACAUCACGGUGGGAGUUGUGGAGAUGAUGCAGAAGUGUAUUAUUGUGGAUUUGUACUUUGAAAGAAAGAUGGACUGACUGACUGGAUAUGGGGAAGCAGGACUCCGGUGGCAGAGUCAAAAGCUUGACUUUGAAAUGCCUGUUAGACACCCAGCUGGACACAUUCUAGGCGCUUGGAGAUAGGGUUCUGGAGUAAAAGCCCAACAGGCUACAAUCUGGGCGGUUCGGUGUAUGCCAAUUGAUAGUGAGACGGUGGGGAGUCUUCAUACUGAGAAAGAUCACAUCCUACAAACUUCUCAAUCCCCCCCACCCGACCGUCUAGUCUCACGUAUCCCUAAACCCAGGACUUCCCUGGCAGAGUUGAGGCCAGUCUGCCGGAAAGAGGGCUGGGACUCUGGAGAUCCACACCCAUUCCCUCAAGCUUGUCAAGGGUUUCAUGGCCCACAAAGCAGAGGGAGUUUCUAACUAGAAGCUUUGACAUUGGGCCAGAUGUUCUAUGCCUGCACUACUUAUUUUUGGAGACAAGGUCUCUCCAUGUAGCCCUGCCUGUCCUGGAACUCACAGAAAUUCUCCUGCCUCUGCCUCACAAGUGCUGGGAUUAAAGGCGUACACCACUACACCCGGCUAUCUCCAUAAAUUUUUUUUUUAGAAAUGCACUUCUGAC